rnacentral:rRNA from 1 species
GACGAACGCUGGCGGCGUGCUUAACACAUGCAAGUCGAACGAUGAUCUCCCGCUUGCGGGGGUGAUUAGUGGCGAACGGGUGAGUAAUACGUGAGUAACCUGCCCUUUACUCUGGGAUAAGCCUGGGAAACCGGGUCUAAUACUGGAUACUACUUCCUGCCGCCUGGUGGGGGGGGGAGAGGUUUUUACUGGUUUUGGAUGGGCUCGCGGCCUAUCAGCUUGUUGGUGGGGUAGUGGCUCACCAAGGCGACGACGGGUAGCCGGCCUGAGAGGGUGACCGGCCACACUGAGACUGAGACACGGCCCAGACUCCCACGGGAGGAAGAAGUGGGGAAUAUUGCACAAGGGGCGGAAGCCUGAUGCAGAGACGCCGCGUGAGGGAUGACGGCCUUCGGGUUGUAAACCUGUUUCAGCAGGGAAGACGCCAGAAGUGACGGUACCUGCAGAAGAAGCGCCGGCUAACUACGUG